rnacentral:piRNA from 1 species
UGGUCAAGGAGCUUAAAGUCAUCUCAGGGU